CAGCAGCCCAAGUGGUGAUCGCUAUUAUUGGGCCUAAAGCGUCCGUAGCCGGGCAGGUAAACCCUUGGGUAAAUCGUACAGCUUAACUGUACGACUUCCGAGGAGACUGCCAGCCUUGGGACCGGGAGAGGUCGGAGGUACUCCAGGGGUAGGGGUGAAAUCCUGUAAUCCUUGGGGGACCACCGGUGGCGAAGGCGUCCGACUAGAACGGGUCCGACGGUAAGGGACGAAGCCCUGGGUCGCAAACCGGAUUAGAUACCCGCGUAGUCC
rnacentral:rRNA from 1 species